AUACGUAGGGAGCGAGCGUUGUCCGGAUUUACUGGGUGUAAAGGGUGCGUAGGCGGCUCUGCAAGUCAGGCGUGAAAACUAUGGGCUUAACUCAUAGACUGCGUUUGAAACUGUGGGGCUUGAGUGAAGUAGAGGUAGGCGGAAUUCCCGGUGUAGCGGUGAAAUGCGUAGAGAUCGGGAGGAACACCAGAGGCGAAGGCGGCCUACUGGGCUUUAACUGACGCUGAGGCACGAAAGCAUGGGUAGCGAACAGGAUUAGAUACCCUGGUAGUCCAUGCCGUAAACGAUGAUUACUAGGUGAGGGGGGUCUGGCCCCUUCCGUGCCGGAGUUAACACAAUAAGUAAUCCGCCUGGGGAGUACGGCCGCAAGGUUGA
rnacentral:rRNA from 1 species